GGUCCUUCCAGGGCCUCUGCUGUCGGGCUUUGGUCCUCACACCCAGCCCAGGAUGGAUAGCUCCUGCCCAGACGGCCCUGAGGAUGGCACCGUUCUCACCUCUGCCUGAGGCCCAAAGGCUCCACCCUCAGGCAUACCGGGCAAGCUUCAAGCUAGAAGUCCUCCAACCUCACUGCUCUGGACAUGAUGAAGACUCCCUACACUGCCCAGGCUGGCCAUGAACUCAGGGCUGAGCAACCCUGCCACAGCGCCAGGAAUACCUAGGACUACAGAUGACACCACACCCCGGCUUAGUUCAGUCUGUGCCUCUUUCUUGAAACCUUGUCACUUUUUGACUUAAU